UACGUAGGCAGCGAGCGUUGUUCGGAGUUACUGGGCGUAAAGGGUGUGUAGGCGGUUGUUUAAGUUUGGUGUGAAAUCUCCCGGCUCAACUGGGAGGGUGCGCCGAAUACUGAAUGACUUGGAGUGCGGGAGAGGAAAGUGGAAUUCCUGGUGUAGCGGUGAAAUGCGUAGAUAUCAGGAGGAACACCUGUGGUGUAGACGGCUUUCUGGACCAUAGCUGACGCUGAGACACGAAAGCGUGGGUAGCAAACAGG
rnacentral:rRNA from 1 species